UAGCAAACCAGAACCUCCAUGUUCCCCACCCUAGAACCCCAAUUGGGCACCCCCCUCCACCUCCUCAGGGUAGAGAUCAAGAAGACAGCAGUACAAGAUCUGAGCUUCAACAAGAACCUGAGGGCUGUGGUGUCAGUGCUGGGCUCCUGGCUGCAGGACCACCCUCAGGAUUUCCGAGACCCCCCUGCCCACUCGGACCUGGGCAGUGUCCGAACCUUUCUGGGCUGGGCGGCCCCAGGGAGUGCUGAGGCUCAAAAAGCAGAG
rnacentral:sRNA from 1 species